rnacentral:rRNA from 1 species
UACAUGUGGGGCAAGCGUUGUUCGGAAUUACUGGGCAUAAAGGGUGCGUAGGUGGUUUGCUAAGUCAGGGGUGAAAUCCCGCGGCCCAACCGUGGAACUGCCUUUGAUACUGGCGAACUUGAGUGCGUGAGGGGUAACCGGAACGAGCAGUGUAGCGGUGAAAUGCGUAGAUAUUGCUCGGAAGGCCAGAGGCGAAGGCAGGUUACUGGUACGCAACUGACACUGAGGCACGAAAGCGUGGGGAGCGAACAGG